rnacentral:lncRNA from 1 species
CGAGCUUUAUGCAUCUGAUAGCUGUAUGAUGGUCUGGAGGGCAGGGAACAUUUCUUUGGCUUGUGGUAAGUGCUCAGCUUGUGUCACAAAGGUAGAGAACUGACUGCUGUUGUCCUAGCAGGCUGGGAGCACGUGGGUAAGAGAACAGCCCCCAGCCUGUGGUUUGCAGGCCAGCUGGCAGUGAUUUGUACCAAGGCUUGCAGAUGGAGUGCCUUUGAUCACAGUGUGCGUUACGAAGGAACACUUACCUGUACCUUCAGCUUUUUCCAGGCCUAAUGACUUUGUGAUAUUAGUCCUUAUGGCAAGGGGGCUAUCCGCCAGCCUCCCAAAAUUCCUUUUCACUCUUUCUUGACAGGUCCCUAGCAGGAAGGAGGAGGGGGCUCUGGUUCAAUUUCUUGCUUCCAGAGAAGACACGUGCCCUCAGCUUUUCCACAUCAGCUGGUCUUUUCAACAUCAGACAAGCAGAACAUUGCAAGCUUGCUCAAGUCCAGCUCUUGAAUACGGGACUGGAAAUGAGGUGGAGAAAGCAAAGGGAAAGCAAGAGCUCAGGUAUGCUCCCUGCUUAUCCUGUGACAUAAAAAUAUAGAUCAGGUGGCCCAAUGCUUCCUGCUGCUGCCUAACCAUCAGUUCUGUCCCUAAGGAGAGGGGAGAAGGAACAAAAGGCUCAAUCCAUGAUAGCUGUAGUAGGGAUCGACGUGCUUCCCCGGCUGGGUGCAGUAUGAAUUCCUAGGAAUGGCAACAAAUUCAGCUCAGCUCAGCUGCGGAUGAGCACUGCAACUUUCCUUGGAAACUACUGGAUUGAUCCUCUACCUUUGGCUACAGGUAAUUGCGUUGCCUCUUGUAGUUAUUUUGGGGUGUUUAGAAGGAGAUUGUACUAAGACUAGCAAAAACUGUUGCAUCCUCUCUCUUUGUGGUCUCUUCCUUUAGAAAUUAUUAUGAUUUAUUUUUUUGUUCCAGUUUGUCUUCAUGCUUUCUACCUAGCUGAUCUGUUACCAGUGUGGAAUAGGAAGGGAAAAUGAAAGUAUACUUUGAGCACAUGGCUGUGUUCUGUUCGUUUUUAUAGCACAGUAUCUAGUGCAAGCCAUUAUUGGAACUGCAGGUGGAAAAGCUGGAUGAUUUAAGGACUUUAAAAUCGCAUUUUCUUCCAGCCUGAUAUAGUUAUGGACUGUUAAUACACUGGGCUGAACUCUGGAAUAGAUGCAGCUCAGUAAAAGAUAAACACAUUCUGGCUGGUUUAGCAUGUAUUAAGGCAUUUUUCUUAUGCUCUCUCUUUAAUCAUUUGACUUUUUUUUUUUUUCCUCUACAUGAAGUGGUACACUUUUAAAAGGUGAAAAGAGACAAGGUAGCAGACGGCUCCUCUAAUAAGGGGUCAUAAAAUUCCCACUGAUCUGUUACUUUGGAAGUGCUAUCAUGCUGCUAUGCUUAAUGAAAGAUCAGUCAUGUAAAUUGUUCCUGGGAUUCAACUUAAUUACCUGCAAGAGAUGGAAC